UUGUAAUCCCCACUGUGUGAUCUAGAGAAGAAAGUUACAUUCUUUCCAAAUUGUUUUGAUGCACUUAUGUGGGAAAAUGAUGUACGUUUGAAUAUGUAUUUCCUCUCUGAAUAACCAUGGCUACAGAUGAAUAUUUGUAGACAUGGAAUGAGUUUACUGUAUUUGAACUGUAUGGUCCCCUAAAUUCUCCCCAGCUUUUUAAAGUCAUCACUGGAGUGCUACCUCCACAGUGUCCCAAAGCAUCCACCACUGCCUGUUCUUCAGACACUGUGAGUUUCCAAGUUGGAGAAGGCUGCUGGCUGUUGAGGCAUUCUCUGGCACAUCUCUGGCUGGCUGAUGUGAGCUUAGCACACAAGACUUGGCAGACAGUAUCUAACCAUGGUCACGUCCAUUUCUGGAACACUCAUGGAGGAUUUUACACCUAUGCUAGUGGCAUACGUUAUUUCUUUUAGUUUUCAAAACAAUCAUAAUUAGAUUUUAUCACCUGUAUUAAUAAGGAAACUGUCAAAGCGAGUGAUGUGCAGACUUUGGACUGGAACACGGGUCUUUCUGAUCCCUAUCUCUGUUCCCUCCCCAGCCUAUCCUUCCAAAUGUCCAGGAGACUCUUCCUCAGUCUUGAGUUUCCCGCUGAUGUUACCACUGUCUUUGUUUCUGGAGAGGAAAACAAGUCUAAACUUACUUUCCAGUUGGAAAUGGAAUGGAGAGUUAACGUUGGAAGCCGGGAGAGUCUGUCCUGUGAUGAAGCGGUCUCUGAGCCACUUCCAUGGGGACGUCACGUCACUGUCUGGGCCCCUUGCACAGCCUGUGCACAGCAUUCCUAGGAGAGAAUUCAGCAGUGCAGCAUCCUCUCCGAGCUCUAUGAGUUGAUCGGCUUCCACCGCAAGUCCGCCUUCUUCAAGCGGGUGGCCCCCGUGCAGCGCACGGCCCCCGGCAUCCCGGAGCCUGGCGGGAAGGUCUUCUCCCGACUCCUUCUGCAGACGCUUCCUGGCUACAGUCUGUCGCGGGAUCUGCAGGACUUCAGCAAAGGUGUUGGAACUAAAACAUUGCUUCAGUCCCAUUAACCAUGCCUGGUUUGGGCCCUGCUGUCCUGUCUCAUCAGGGUGAAUUCUGAUUCGUUUAGAAUAGGGCUCAGCAGACUUUUUCUGUCAAGAGCUUGGGAGUAAAUAUUUCAGGGUCUGCAAACCUCCUGAUCUCUGGUGCAGCUGCUCAGCUCUGCUGUUCAGACGCCAGAGCAUCCGGACAUUCCACACACCCACAGAGCUUUAUUAACAGCGGUGUCUGGGGCUGGAUUCAGUGUAUGAACUGCAGUUUGUCCCCACAGCCUCCUCACUAUUGACGCCUGCACCAGAGCAUGCAUUUGCGACAAUGGGUGAACCUGCACUGACACGUCAUCAUCACCCAGAGCCCAGACUUGACACUAGGAUUUACACUUGGUGGUGUGCACUCUGUGGGUUUGGACAUAUGUGCAAUGACAUGUAUCCACCGUCACAGCAUCAUACAGAGUAGUCUGUCUUAGUGACCUUAAAAUGCUCCGUGCUGCACCUCAUUCAUUGCUCCUUCCCCUCUAGCCUCUGACAGCCACUGAUCUUUUAGUCUCUGUGGUUUUCCCUUUCCCAGAACACCAUACAGUUGGAAUCAGACAGUUGCGGAACCUUCCCAGAUUGGCUUCUUUCACUUAGUAAUAUGCAUUUAAGGUUCCUCCAUGUCUUUCCAUGCCUUGAUAACUCAUUUCAUUUUAGCACCAAAUAAUAGUCCAUUUUCUGGCUGGACCACAGUUAAUCCAUUCACCUACUGAAGAACAGCUUAGUUGCUUCUGAGUUCUGGUGAUUAUGAAUAAAGCUGCUAUUAACAUCUGUAUGCAGUUUUGUGUGUGGACAUAAGUUUCCAUUUCGUCGAGUAAACACCAAGGAGCACAGUUGCCGGAUCAUGUGUUAGGAGUACGUUUAGUUUUGUAAAAAAUUGCCAGACCGUCUUCCAAAGUAUCUGGGCCAUUUUACAUUCCCACCAGCAAUGCAUGAGAAUUCCUUAUGCUCCACAUCCUCACCAGCAUUUGGUGCUGUCAGUGUUCAGAGUUUUGGCAGUUCUGACAGGUGUGCAGUGGUACCUCGCUGUUUCAGUCUGCAUCCCCUUGAUGACAGAUGCUGUGGAGCAUCUUUCCAUAGACUUCUUUGGCAUCUAGAUUUUUUCUUUGAUGAGAUCUGUGUCAGGAAUUUUGCUCAUUUUUUAAUCAGGUUGUUCAUCCUUCUUGUUGAGUUUAAAGAGAUUUUGGUAUAUUCUGGAUAUCAGCCCUUUAUCAAUGUGUCCCUGCCCUUCACCUGCAGCACCGGAGUUGCCCUUGGGGUCUCAGUGGAGUGUCAGCUCUUCAAAGAGGUUCCCUGUCUUCCCUCAGCCUAAAUACUGUCCUUGUAUUUUUCACUUUCAUUGACUCAUUUUGUUCUUUUUAAAUAGCAUUUCCCAUAAUUUGUAAUUAUAUUAAAAAAAAGGGCAAUGAUUGAACACCACCUCCCCACCAGGCUGUGUGCCCUGUGAGAGCAGAGGCCCUGUCCCCACUCACCAUUUCCCAUGACAGCACAUGGCACAUGUCCAUGUAAAAGUGUGUAACGUGGGGCCAAACCUGAUGAGCAGCUAUGAUGACAUGUGUUGGCUACCAUUUAUUGAGUAGACUUUGUUUCUGAUGUAAAUUAUUAAAUCACAUGAAUUAAACUUGUUUGUUUUGAAAAAUAAAACAACAAAGCCCACCUCCA